ensembl:lncRNA
CCAGGGCAGAUUUUUCCUGUCCAAACAAGGGCUGCCAGUUGGCAACGUCACGAGUGACAUCAGGCGUCUGCAUGAACAGUACGAUUUACCAAGCUUUUCAAGCCAGCAAGCCAGAAGAGCCCAAAUUACUAUGGCAUGCUCUUCUUCUGAUGAUCCGGCCGAUGAGAGGAGAGUUCGGAAACAGAAGAGAGGCAGAGGCCCAGCUGACCAGGAUGACAGGGACUUUGGAGCAUUUCUCCUGCAGUUUCCAGCGACGGCGAGUAGCACCCCGCCCACAAAAAAGAAGCGGACCGCUGCGGGAUUUCCACCUGACAAAAUGUUUUAUAACAGGUGGAGGUCUGUGCAGUUGGCCAAGCGGGAGGAGCUCCUCUUGUGUAAGUUGGUGUGCUUUAUUAUAAAAAAAUUCAUACAUAUUUCUAUAAUCAAAGUAACAUAAUUCACAUUAUGGACAAGAAUUUUAAUUUAACAUUUGUCUUUGACAGCCCAGUGUUCAAGACGGCCCNNNNNNNNNNNNNNNNNNNNNNGCUGAUCCAAAAAGAGGGUUGGACUGGCAACUGUCCUCGCCCCGAAGACAUAGUGGCAAAGUGGAGACCCGUCACUAGGGUGCAGGUGGAGUCGGAUCCAUGGAUCAUCACUAAGAUCCAGAAUCAAAAGUGGACAGGCCUGGCCCUCAAGGACUUUGGCACAAAAGGACAAGGAGUUGUUGCCACCAAAGCCUUUGCCAUGGGCUCCAUCGUUUGUGAUUACCAUGGAAAGGUAAUCACAGGAGCAGAGGGCCGGAAGUUGGUCGAGUCCAUCAAGGGUGAUACAGCCUACCUUUUCUUUUUCCAGGCUGCUGGUCGGGACCUCUGUGUGGACGCUGAGACUUUCCCUUGUGAGUGUCACCCAACAGAAAACACCAUGGGCCGGAUGAUCAAUCAUUCCUCCAAGAGAGCAAACCUGAGGCCAGUCCACUGCAUGAUGAACUUCCCUUUGUACUCCUGGAGUGGAUACUAAUUGCACCUUCUUUUGACCACAGGAGUUGUUGCCACCAAAGCCUUUGCCAUGGGCUCCAUCGUUUGUGAUUACCAUGGAAAGGUAAUCACAGGAGCAGAGGGCCGGAAGUUGGUCGAGUCCAUCAAGGGUGAUACAGCCUACCUUUUCUUUUUCCAGGCUGCUGGUCGGGACCUCUGUGUGGACGCUGAGACUUUCCCUUGUGAGUGUCACCCAACAGAAAACACCAUGGGCCGGAUGAUCAAUCAUUCCUCCAAGAGAGCAAACCUGAGGCCAGUCCACUGCAUGAUGAACUUCCCUGAAGGACAGAGGGAUGUCAUCCUGUUCCAGGCGAAAAGAGACAUUCAUUUAUGCGAGGAGCUGCUGUUUGAUUAUACAUCGUCAAGUGCCAUUCUUUUCGAGGAGAAGCAAUGACCUUGACUGGCUGGAUGAGUGAACAUCAGGCCAUUCAUUCACCAGUCCGCCCCAUCACAUCAAGGCCAACGGUCGAGUCCAUCAAGGGUGAUACAGCCUACCUGUUCUUUUUCCAGGCUGCUGGUCGGGACCUCUGUGUGGACGCUGAGACUUUCCCUUGUGAGUGUCACCCGACAGAAAACACCAUGGGCCCGAUGAUCAAUCAUUCCUCCAAGAGAGCAAACCUGAGGCCAGUCCACUGCAUGAUGAACUUCCCUGAAGGACAGAGGGAUGUCACCCGGUUCCAGGCGAAAAGAGGCAUUCAUUUAUGCGAGGAGCUGCUGUUUGAUUAUACAUCGUCAAGUGCCAUUCUUUUCGAGGAGAAGCAAUGACCUUGACUGGCUGGAUGAGUGAACAUCAGGCCAUUCAUUCACCAGUCCGCCCCAUCACAUCAAGGCCAAGACUGAUGGACCAUACGGACCACAAACAUAUUUGCAAUCUGAAAAAAUAUAUACACUGCACGUUGUUUGCACAUUUUUGACACUGUUUUCAAUUUUAUUAUGUACAUAACAGACAAUAAAGAUUAUAUUCUAUGCA